AAGACACGAGCUUUCCCAAAUUAUAUGGUAGCUGAUAAGACUAGGGUUCUGCAAAAGGCUAUGAGGAAUCAGGAUCUGAGAUUUGAAGAGGUGGAAGAAGGUGAGUAUCGGUCUGAUUUCUCCCAACACUAAUGAGUAAUGGCAACCUCGACGAUCAGCAGAUUACUCUGCUUAUCCAAUGCAAGUUUUGUCCGAGCAAGAGGUUAUUUAUUUUUCGAGAAAGUAACAAGAGGUCAUUUCUGUAUCUUCUAUCUGCUUCUAGAUUAAUCCUGUAUAUCAUUUUCUAAAUAUUGAACACUUACGUGCGGAAUUUUUGUGGAUCAUGAGUAUGUUUGUUUUAUUUUAGAUCCUCGUUUCUAAAGUUUAUGAGUUCAGCUAUCUGAAUUUUAACAUCUUCCCCUAGGAAUUAUCGUUUCAUGUCCACCUCUGGGAGUUUGAGAUUAUUGAAAUGCUCACAUGGAGAGUUCAACCUAGGUAGAACUUUAGUCUCUGAUAGCUUGGGCAGAAGAUAUUUUGGAAAUAGUCAUCUGAACUUAGUCAUCUUAAAUAGAAGAACCAAUAUUUGGGAGAGUCAUGUGUUACAUUUGGACAGACUACUUAUGAGAAUAUUCCAAUGCUAGAACAAGGAGAUGGAUAUAUGUCCCCUCUCUAUAAUCAAGAUUGAUGAAUCUGAGUCAGUAAUCUAUAUCUCGUCUAUAUGUACCUUUGCAGAGAAUGCCGGGAAGAUCUUUACCAAUCUGUUUGACUAUUUUCCUCUCACAGCACUGGGGAGUCAUGGGUUUGAUUUCCCAUCUCAAUGAACUAUGAAAAUCAUCUUGGAAAUUGAAGACUGUUGAGGCCACAGUUUUAUUCAGAAAUAAAGUGUGCAUUGCGGUAACUCAGCCCAAGGGAGACAAUUCAUUUUCAUUAAAUCCAGUUAACCAAACUAGGCGCUGAGAGAGAUCUGGUGUAUGCUAAAGGCAAUGUAAGUAGCUUUUUUGUCCUUCCAACAUAUGCUCUCUUUGUCAAAUUAUCAUAAUCAUUAUCCUCAAUUGCAUCCAAUAUCUCCCUAUAAAUUAACAAGGAAGCCCACACCUGGCACACAAGAAAAAAGGAAAUAGAUAAAAAGUAAACCAAAAGUGCCUAAAAUUUGGCAUUUCAGAAACAGUGAAAGUUUACCGGCCAACGGCUGGCCUUGUCAAGCUUAGAAGCUCCCUCCUCCGCUUGGUUAAAGUAGAACCUCGCCCUAGCAAUCUGCUUUUUCAUGAAAUGCCUCCAUCUAUCACUCACCUUUCUUGAGAAAACAUCCGCAUCACUCAAUCCGAAUUGCCUGAGCUCAUCUUGAGGAAGGUACACCCUCCCUCUCAAUGCACUAAGAAAAAAUCAAUAUCUUUCUAAAGACUCAUGAAGUAAUUAGUAAAGAGUUAUAACUUACUCCUCUCCCACAUCUCUUAGAAUAUUAGUAAGCUGAUUCCCGAUUCCCAAAUAUAGAGCUGCAUUGUAUAUACUCUGAGAUAAAACAACAGCCUCUGGUGCGAUACCCAUUACUGGGACGCUCAUCAGGCCAACAGUCCCAGCCACACAGUAGCAGUACAAAUAGAGUUGCUGAAAAUUUUCAUAUCGAUCCUUCCUCAGGUCCAUUCGCAUUCCCUCUAUCAUGUCCUUAAAUGGCUACAUUCCACAGCACGGAUGUUUAACUUGUGCCAUUGAGAAGGAUUUUGACACAAAACAAAAUAAAAGUACUAUUGGAUACCCAUUUGGAAACUAAAUUUAGUGAUAGAUUUAGAAAUUUAUUAUUGUUUCAGAGACAGAUUCAGAAACAAUAAUUGUUUUUAAAUGGGGGCAAUUAUAUAUUACCUUGAUGUCUAGAGGGAACUUUUGGAUAGUAUCAGUAAGAGUAGCAUCCAACGUAUCAUAGGGUUUGCCAUUGAAGAUGUCUUGCAGCCUUUCUUCCCAUCGAUCCAAAACUGUCGACCCCAUGUAAAUGGAAUUUGGUCCGUCCACAAGCUCGUCUGUCCUCCUGCACCAAACUGAAAAGAGGUGGGUCCUAGUCCCAGUCCCAGUCCCGUGAAACUUAUAUUUUUAGUUCCUUUUCGAAAAUUGAAAUUGCUUACCAUAGAUUGCCCAUAUUGCUUUUUGUCUAUCUUCUGUCAUUAGUUUUGUCCCUGAAAUCAUAGCAGAGAUUAUCAGACACUAUUCUCAUAAAGAUUUAUCACACAAUUUGGAGUGAAAACACACACCUAAAUAGAAUGUCUUUGCAUAUUCAGCACAAAUAUUCCUGCAUGUCUGGUAAGAUUCAUGGAGAACCAUAUCCUGCAAAUAUGACUUCCUGUGAAUUUCUUCCUGGUUGAAGACAUUUUUGGUCCGAGUUUGUUGUCUUUGGAUGAUAUCUUUGAUGUGGAGAUCAGGAUGAGGGAUCCCUUGGACAGACAACUCAGGAAAUGUUAUUGGGCUAAUGAUCUUGUUUGGAGCCAUGGCUAGUUCUGCUCUUAUGAUGACUUCAUGUGACUUUGGUUUGAAACUUCUGCCUGCUUUUAUGCAAGGCCUGGCUGAUAAAAAAGAUGUUGCACUCAUUUAAGAAGGUUUUACUGUCUAUAGUGAGUAAGAGAGAAUUCUUGGGGAAUCAAACACUUUUGAAGAUAUUAGAGGGUCUGAAACAUUGAGCUGGUUUUCAUUUAUCAAUUGUGUGCUUUGUUUAUUUCAUAUAGGAAGUAUAAUGAAAUGGGCAAGUAAAGCUAUAGAGAUAGGAAGAUGCUUUUUCAGCAUAUUUAGACUUUUUCUGUAGCAAAAAAUUAGGAUCUUCAUUUAAGUUGAUACCUAUUUAGAUAAAUCCAAAUCCAAAAUAGUCACAUAUUUUAUUGAUGGUGUUUGGUUAGCUCCAAAAUAAAAUUCAAAUUGAAGAUCCUAACAUUCUCAUGGUUGAUGAACAUUUGUUAUAAAACUAACUACCCACAAGUAUUCAACAGAAGUCACAUCAUCACUCCGAAUUAUUCGGAAAGUUAGUUAAUGUAUUGGUUUUACUUGUAUGCAUGUCGAACCGAUCAUCUAUUAUGUAUUGCAUCGGUCUUCUUGUCGACUUAGUUACCCGUUGAACAGGGAAAUAUCUAUAACCUUUCUUUUUCACUGGAAAUCGUCUAUCCAAGAGAAUGUUAGGGAAUAGACUAAUGAUUAAAUCUGCUAAUGUUAGGGCAAUAUAUUUCUAACUUAUUCCAGAAACUUAUCUAUGAGAUGAUCCUUUUCGACUUGCUAAGAAUCAGAUUUGUUACAUAAAAUGUUUUCCUAAUAAUCAACUUAUUACAGAAAACAUUUUAUUCUGAAUAUUCGAAUUGUCAAAAUC